UCGGACGUGGUGCAUGUGCACGCCCUCUUAACCUAGUAACCCCGGAAUAAGUUGGAGGGAAGCCGGGGUUCGAUUCCCCGCGUCUGAA